GAUGAACGCUAGCGGCAGGCCUAACACAUGCAAGUCGAGGGAGAGCCCUUUCGGGGGCAGAAACCGGCGCACGGGUGCGUAACGCGUAUGCAACCUACCUUUCACAGGGGGAUAGCCCGAAGAAAUUUGGAUUAAUACCCCAUAAUAUUGUUGGAUGGCAUCAUUUGGCAAUUAAAGCUACGACGGUGGAAGAUGGGCAUGCGUCCUAUUAGCUAGUUGGAGUGGUAACGGCACCCCAAGGCUACGAUAGGUAGGGGUCCUGAGAGGGAGAUCCCCCACACUGGUACUGAGACAGGGACCAGACUCCUACGGGAGGCAGCAGUGAGGAAUAUUGGUCAAUGGUCGGAAGACUGAACCAGCCAUGCCGCGUGCAGGAAGAAUGCCUUAUGGGUUGUAAACUGCUUUUAUAUGGGAAGAAUAAGGUGUACGUGUACAUUGAUGACGUACCAUAUGAAUAAGUCGCUAACUCCC
rnacentral:rRNA from 1 species